UACAGAGACUGCAAGCGUUAUUCGGAUUCACUGGGCGUAAAGGGUGCGUAGGCGGCCGUGCAAGUCUGGCGUGAAAGCCCCGGGCUCAGCCCGGGAAGUGCGCUCGAAACUGCGCGGCUCGAGUGCCGGAGGGGAGAGUGGAAUUCCUGGUGUAGCGGUGAAAUGCGUAGAUAUCAGGAGGAAUACCGGUGGCGAAAGCGACUCUCUGGACGGCAACUGACGCUGAGGCACGAAAGCGUGGGGAGCAAACAGG
rnacentral:rRNA from 1 species